rnacentral:tRNA from 1 species
GGGGAUAUGGCUCAGUUGGUAGAGUGAUUGCCUCGUAUGCACAAGGCCUUGAGUUCAAUCCCACCAUCACCA